UGACUGAAAUAACAAAAAAAUAUUUGCUUAGACAUUUUAAAGUAGUUUGUGUAUGGAAUCUAUGGAUGUCAAGACACCUAAUACCUAACUGUAUUUAACAUAUUUUAAAAAAUGGAUCCCAACUUUACUAGUCAAACUACUUUACAGAUUAUUUGUCUGUGUGAUUUAUAAAAAGUGAAUAUUAAUCAAAAACAUGUACAUCUUAUCUCUGCUUAAAUCAUAUCCAUAAUCAUUUUAUUAUUAAAACAAUCUAUAAAUUAGAGAAAUCUUGGUUAAAAUUUUCGAGCUCCAGCCUAAAAUAGUCGCAAGUUUUCGUAAAGAGAAAACUAUGAUUUAUACAAACUUUUGAAUUAGAGUUUCAGCAAUGGACCAAAGACUAUUACUAAAAACAUUAUCAUUAUCCUGAAGAACCUAUAGAAGCAGUUGGAAAACACGAUGACCUAAACCCAAAUAUACGAGUCAAGAAAACCACAUAAAUGAAUCUAAAUUUGAGCACAAUAGAAAGCAAAAAAACCUUCAAUGUAUUGAAGCCCAUAGGAAAAACCCAUCUUAUGAUCUAAUAGAACAAUGUAACUAGGGUUUCUAAGCUUAUUCUUGUGUAAAAAACUUUGGCUGCAUCAUAAGCAGCCACUUUCAAACCAUUUCAUGAUAUCAAACGAUCUUAUUAUCUCUUGGUGACAACAUUAAAGUUAUUUCCUUUCUUUACUUUUGGGUUUUCUGCAAAAAAAUCCUCAAUAUGGUUUUUUUUGCAAAUUAAUCCGCGAACUCAAAAACCCACGGGUCAACCCUCCAAGUGCCAGUCAAACCGCAAUAUAACCCUCGGCCAUAUUUAUGUGUAUUUGACUGUGUAUAAUUUUAACAUUUUUUCAAUACUAUGUCGUUUUGGCGCUAAUUUUUUAAUGAAAAGAAUUUGUUGAACCCCACCUUCAUUGUGCAUUUACGCAAGCUCCCAUGUCCGAGAAAAACAAGGUCAUUUCGUUUUAGAAAUCUAUAUAAUUGCGUUUGUUAAGUAAAAAAAUAUAUUUGUUGGCCGAAAUGGUUAUAUAGCAUGCACAUGGUAUUUAAGGUUCAAAUUUCAAACCACGAGUUCAACAAAUUUUUUUCAUUAAAAAAUUAGCGCCAAAACAACCUAGUAUUGAAAAAAUGUUAAAAUUAUACACAGUCAAAUACACAUAAAUAUGGCCGAGGGUUAUAUUGCGGUUUGACUGGCACUUGGAGGGUUGACCCGUGGGUUUUUGAGUUCGCGGAUUAAUUUGCAAAAAAAAAAUCACAUUGAAGGUUUUUUUUGCAGAAAACCCUUUAUUUUUCUUGCAUAAUAAAGCUCAUUUGAACUAUGUGUUUAUGUUUCUUUUUUUCACACUAAAAAUUCAAUUGAUCAUAGGAAGUAGGCCUGGGCAUUUCGGGUAUCGGUUCGGGUAUUUCGGGUUUUGGGUAGUUCGGAUAGGGGCUAGAAGAUCCAUUUGGUACUUGACCUAUUUUCGGUUCGGUUCGGUUCGGAUAGUUUCGGAUUCGGUUUGGUUCAGAUAGUAAAUGUAGGAACCGAAAAAUAUCCGGAAAAAGUUCGGUUCUCAUUUGGAUCCGGUUCGAGUUCGGAUAGUUCGGGUAGUUCGGAUAAUUUGGAUAAAAUAUCAGUUAUUUAGGGUAAAAUAUCAAAUAAUUAGGAUGAUUUAGAUAAAAAAUUUGGAUAUUUGGGAUUACUUUGGAUAUUUCGGGUAAAACUAUCUGGAUAGUUUCAGAUACUUUCGGGUAGUUUGGAUACUUUAUAAUAAUCUAGUUAUCCUUAACUAUUUUCAGAUACUUUUAAUAGAAUUUUAAAUUAAAAAUAUAUAUUUAGUGAUGUUAUAUGUGUAUAUAAUUAAUAUUUUUAUAUAUUUGGGUAUCCGUUCGGUUCUCGGUUCGGUUCCGGUUCGGUUCGGUUAUUUCGGAUAUAAAAAUAUAGGAACCAUUCGGGUAUUUGAGGGUAUUAGUCCGGUUCCGGUUUUGGGUAUUUCGGUUCGGUUUCGGUUCGGUUCUUCGGUUCCAGUUAUUUUGGCCAGGCCUAAUAGGAAGCAUACAAGAGUAGGAUACGUUUUUGGGAUACUAAUCUGACGAGUAACAAGUACUCUCAGAACCUAAAGCUAGCAAGAAACAACACAGUUCUUCUAGAGACAAAAGCCAGCAAAACAUUCACUGGAGAGAGAUACAUAUCCUAAAAUCAGUGACUAGUAAGAGUAUGAUUAGCAAUACAAGAUCAACAGAUAAGAUAACAUAGCAAUGGACCCAACGAGAGAGGAGGAUUAAAGAGAGGGACAUCGAACGCCUAACUUUAUUUGGGGAGCAACAGAGACCACAACUCAUUCUACUGCUCCGGAACCAUACCAGGAGCCAAGAGGCCGACAACGGAAAGCUUACCCAAGGGAGAAGAAGAGACACACCAUUAAACUUCAAACACCCACGGCGAGAUGAUAAAGGCCGAGACCCCUCUUCCUUGAAGACAAGCCGGAGAAACCAAAUCGAAUCAUCAGAGAACCAAACACCAACAGAAUUUGUUCCGUUGCAAACGAGAUCAAGGAAGAGCAUAACCGCCAACUCUCAAAGGGACCACCACCAGAGGCUAGCCAAGGAAACACAAGCAGAAGGGAAAUCGAUGUCAAUUAACGGAAAGGAGUCGAAACUCCAGAGACCCGCCAACAAAACCCUAGAAGAUAAAGAAGAGAUGGAGCGGGGAAAACGAUGCUAUAGAAGAGGCAGUCGAAACCUAAGCCACCAACGGACCACCAUAUCUGAUCUACCAGAUCUGAGAACUACUCUCGAAGUUUUACCAAGUCACUUCAAGGACAAACAACUAGAAAAGCAAAAAUGCAGAGGGGAUACACACAGGCCGGACCGACGGUGGCAAGGAAAGCCAAACCGCCGUCCGGUGUCGGAAAUCUUUGUCAAUAAGGUAGACAGAAGUCAGAGAGCUUUUCUAGAGAGAGAGACCACGGCGUUUCAUGGGUUUGAUUUAAUUUUUAUUCUGAGCUUGACGCUUCUGUCAAACAGACAAGACUCACCCAGACAACUUUACGCUUCCGACAAACAGAUCCAGAUAAGAAGAAAUUUUUCUUCAUCGACUCAAGUCAGCUUCGUGUCACUUUCGAUGGAGUUUGGUUCCUGAACUCGAAAUCCAAAGAAAGGAAGAGCCUUUUUGCGUUUUCAAGCUCUCCUUGUUCACAGACGGUUCAUGGUUAUGUUCAUCUUCAAGCCCCAGUUUAAUCUGUUUGCGCAAAUCCAGUCCUGUUUUUGAAGUAGUGACGAAGACAGAGAAGAGACACGCCUUGGUAAAGCAAAGUUGGUGUAUUGGUGAAGCUGGUCAAGCUAUUUGAAGAGGAUAAUGACUUUUCAAACAGAACUAGUGGUUUCUCCAAGUCACAUAUCAUGUUUCUUCUCACUGUAAUAUCUUUGUACUUUCAUUUGAGGCAGAAAAUAGAUAGCUUGAGAACGGGAAAACAUAUUGCUGGCUAGGUAUUGUGCUGUGACUGGAUUGGUUUGGAAAUUUGCAAUAGGAUAGUGUUGGGUUUGAGCUUAAUGGCUGCAAGUUUCUGUUGAUGCGUGCACACAAGAUGUUUGGUUAAAUGUCCAAGAGAAAAACAGAUUUUGAAAAUGAAGAGUUUUGGUGGCAGAUGGAUAGGAAAUAGAGAGUUGAGGUUUAGGCUGUUGUAGGAUGGAUUUCUGUUUGGCCGUGAGAUAGCUUAGUCCAGUUAGGAGGAUUAAAAAAAAAAUUCCCAACUUGUUGUGAGACAAAUAGGUCAAAAGAACCUGAAGAUGUUCUCACACUUAUGUCUAUUCUCCAAGCUGAAUAGAGUCAUCUACCUACCUUCCAUGGAUCUUCAACUACUUAUGCUCAUUUCAAAAUCAGCUCCAUUUGCAUCUUUAAACUUGGCUCAAUUGCUUGACUCACCACCCGAUGCCACGUUUGCGGGAAGAUAUUGAAGCCCAUAGGAAAAGCCCAUCUUAUGAUCAAAUAGAACCAUGUAAGUAGGGUUUCUAAGCUUAUAUAUAUGAUGUUAUGAACUCUUGUGUAAAAAACCUUGGCUGCAUCAUAAGCAGCCAUUUCAAACCAUUUCAUGAUAUCAAACGAUCUUUUUAUC